CCCAGCUCCUCCGUCACGGUGGCCUGUU
rnacentral:piRNA from 1 species